rnacentral:rRNA from 1 species
AAUAGAUACCCUGGUAGUCCACGCCGUAAACGAUGAGUGCUAAGUGUUAGAGGGUUUCCGCCCUUUAGUGCUGAAGUUAACGCAUUAAGCACUCCGCCUGGGGAGUACGGCCGCAAGGCUGAAACUCAAAGGAAUUGACGGGGGCCCGCACAAGCGGUGGAGCAUGUGGUUUAAUUCGAAGCAACGCGAAGAACCUUACCAGGUCUUGACAUCCUCUNGACAACCCUAGAGAUAGGGCUUCUCCUUCGGGAGCAGAGUGACAGGUGGUGCAUGGUUGUCGUCAGCUCGUGUCGUGAGAUGUUGGGUUAAGUCCCGCAACGAGCGCAACCCUUGAUCUUAGUUGCCAUCAUUCAGUUGGGCACUCUAAGGUGACUGCCGGUGACAAACCGGAGGAAGGUGGGGAUGACGUCAAAUCAUCAUGCCCCUUAUGACCUGGGCUACACACGUGCUACAAUGGACGGUACAAAGAGCUGCAAGACCGCGAGGUGGAGCUAAUCUCAUAAAACCGUUCUCAGUUCGGAUUGU